ACGGGCACGGACGCCCGUGGUUCCAAGCAGAAUCGACGUUUUAAAACAGAGUAGUUUACAAAGCUUUAAAACUCGCAGACUUAAUUUUGACAAGGACGUCAAAAUUAAGUCGUGG
rnacentral:sRNA from 1 species